UUACGGGAGGCAGCAGUGGGGAAUUUUGGACAAUGGACGCAAGUCUGAUCCAGCAAUGCCGCGUGCAGGACGAAGGCCUUCGGGUUGUAAACUGCUUUUGUACGGAACGAAACGGUGAGCUUUAAUACAGUUUGCUAAUGACGGUACCGUAAGAAUAAGCACCGGCUAACUACGUGCCAGCAGCCGCGGUAAUACGUAGGGUGCGAGCGUUAAUCGGAAUUACUGGGCGUAAAGCGUGCGCAGGCGGUUAUAUAAGACAGAUGUGAAAUCCCCGGGCUCAACCUGGGACCUGCAUCUGUGACUGUAUAGCUAGAGUGCGGUAGAGGGGGAUGGAAUUCCGCGUGUAGCAGUGAAAUGCGUAGAUAUGCGGAGGAACACCGAUGGCGAAGGCAAUCCCCUGGACCUGUACUGACGCUCAUGCACGAAAGCGUGGGGAGCAAACAGGAUUAGAUACCCCGGUAGG
rnacentral:rRNA from 1 species